UGUUGAGGCAGCUAAAAGAGAGUAUUCAAAUUUCAAACCACCAAGCCAUUGAAAAUAAUAGAAAAGGAAAGGGCAGGGGAUGAUAGUGAAAUGACAUAUUUACCGAUGGAUACAGUUCCGAAACCAACCGCGCGCGUGUUAUAUAUACAUAUAUAUAAUUAUACAAACGGUUGCCGUUGCAGUUGCGGUUGCGGUUGCGGUAGGGUUAAAGGUCAGAAGCCAUGGACGAAUUUGGAGCAGGUUUUCUUCACCCAGCGUAGGCCUUUCUUCCAGCCAUCCCUCACCUUCCCUUCCAUGGUGUACAAUUUGUACUUGGCGAUCCUCUUCCUUCGCUUCAGCUCUGCGUUGCUGUACCACGGCCGCAGCGACGACGUCCCCCGCGCUCGCCGGUUGUACGCCGCGCCUUCCAUGGUGCUCAGCUCUCCCCCCGCCUCCGAGGAAGAGAGAUGAAACUCGGAAGGAUUUCAGCCGACGAAUUUCGACCAUCCUUGGAAAUACAAUUAGAGGAAACUCUUUUUUUGAGGGGAUCACAAAGAAGACGUGAUCAGAAGGAUAUGGACAGCCACUAAACUUAACUUUUCAAGUAUUACAUUGGAUUAAUAUUUAUUUUGAGAAUGCUUAGUUAAUAGUUUGUUUGUUUCAUAAUUCGUAUUGUUUGAGAUAUGUAUUUGCAUUGAAAUAAAUUUCUAAUAUUACGAUAUUAAUAAAUAAUACUAUAUUGGUGAAUAAAAUCUCAUUUUGCUUUUGAUU